CCUGGUAGCUCAGAGGUUAAAGCGUCUGCCUGCAAUGUAGGAAACCUAGGUUUGAUCCCUGGGUCAGGA
rnacentral:tRNA from 1 species